rnacentral:rRNA from 1 species
CAUCCCGCGGGAAUACAGAGGGUGCAAGCGUUAAUCGGAUUUACUGGGCGUAAAGGGCGCGUAGGUGGUUAUUUAAGUGAGAUGUGAAAGCCCCGGGCUUAACCUGGGAACUGCAUCUUAUACUGGGUAGCUGGAGUGCAGUAGAGGGUAGUGGAAUUUCCGGUGUAGCGGUGAAAUGCGUAGAUAUCGGAAGGAACACCAGUGGCGAAGGCGGCUACCUGGACUGAGACUGACACUGAGGCGCGAGAGCGUGGGGAGCAAACAGGAUUAGAGACCCGCGUAGUCCCUGUCUCUUAUACAC